CUGUAAGGUACUCAUUGCAAUCUGCUGCGAUCUUCUUGCUUGACUUCUUGUAGAAAAAUCAAUUCAGAUGCUGGGGAGUUUUGGUCAUUCACCUGUGAACGGCUGAUCUGGUUCUUGCCCCAUGCAAGUUCCUUCAUGCUACUUCUCAGCAAGCUAGGCUGAAGAGUUUGUGUCAGGAAAGCUGUAUGUCUUUUUGCAAUUGGACUUUUUUCUUUUUGAGGUAUUUAUAUUAACAUAUCACAGAAUCAUAGGGGUUGGAAGGGACCUCAGGAGGUCAUUGAGACCAGUGCCCUGCUAAAGCAGUUCCCUACAAUGGGUCACACAGAUUGGUGUCCAGCUGGCUCCUGAAUGUGUCCAUAGAAGGAGACUGCAGCACCUCCCUGGGCAGCCUGUUCCAGUGCUCCACCGCCCUGACCAUAGACAGGUUCUUCUGCAUAUUAGUAUGGAACUUCCUUUGUUCAGUUGUGGGGUUACUGUGAGGUCACGGCUUGAACUGGUGAUGGAGCACCUGUGAGGGAGUGCAGCUGGCCCAGGGUGCACAGGCACAUUGUUUGCACCUGUGCUCCCUAUGCAACCAGAAGGAGUGGACACAGAGUAGAGCCCCAGCUGGGCUCAUAUAAUGGCCAGCCAUGGGAGGGGAAGGUUUCUUGGAUGUGGGCUGCUUCUUGGGAAGGAGUGCUUUGUGGCUGAAGAUCCCCUUCACCAGUAGGUCGGAGGCCGUUUCCCCUUGCCCUACGGGCUGCAGCAGUUCUAAACUGCGGAGCCCUGAGAUUGAACGAGGAGCCCCGCAGCACCUCCCCUCCCCCGUCGCCAACCGAAGCUCGGGAGGGACUGAACUGCAGCCGUUGCUUUGCGGUUCCCGUGCGAAAAGCACGCGGGGUGACCGCUGGCGGGGAGCGCUCGGAGGAGCGGCGUCGUUUCCCAUAGCGAUGCUGACGUCCCCGCACCUGUGCAGCCCGUGGGCUUCCAGCGGCAGCUCUUCGUUCCCCCGGCGGGUCCCGGAGCGAGGCGGGCUGACAAAGAGCGGAGUUUUCUCCCGGGGCGGAAUGAGUGAACCCAUCGCUGCGAACACAGCGCGGGCGGAUUUCGGUGCAAUUAGCUCCGCAAAUACCACGACAUGCAGUCUGCGAGCGGACUAAAAGGUCUCCUAAACAAUUAGGGGACCGCGGCCCCGUGGACCCCUGUCAUGCACAUUAAUGUCACCAGCCUCAGCAGAGGCUACGCGUGCUUUGAUGCCGGGGGAAUCCAGCGUUUGACGACCCCAUAAACUUCGUACCGGUUUUGGUCCCGGCUCCCACGAUUCGGUGGCGUUUUAUUUACUGCGCCUCGUAACGUUUAGUCUAUAAACAAAUAGGGGCUGGGGAGAAGGGCCGGCGUGGGCUUAAUUACCUCAAGUCUCUGCCUCCUCUUUUGUUAUGUGCAUCAUGGAUACUUGGCAGCAUUAACAUUCCUGGAAUUGUAUCUGCCGUCCUUUGUAAAAGGAUUGAAUGCGACGCAUUAGUUCGGGCUCGUGGGGCAUUUGUGUCUCCAACAACAGCUUAAUUAUGGACAUUGUUUACUAAUCAGUAUUAAAUUGACAGACUAUCAGGGCUAAUCUGGAGAUUAACACAAUAGCUUGUUUUCAUUUUGUCCUUCUAGCAGUUUAUUGAAUGCAGGAUUUAAAACAAGACCCUCUUGUGAGCCUUCCCUUCCGCACCGCAGCUGUGUGACCGCGUCCAGACCCGUCUAUUUGUUUUCUGCACUGUAGAGUCAGAGCAAACACUGGCGUGCUGUAGAAGCACCUACCAAGCCCAGGCUGCCCUGCACGCCGCUGAACACAGGCUUGAAACCAGUUGUCUCAACCUGAUGAUUACCAGGAGCCUGAACAGACACCUUACUGCUCACUUAGAAGUUUGGAAGCAUUCAGACCUGUGCUGGUGGUGUAUUUCCUUCCAUACGACCUCUGACCAGCUAGCAGAUUGUGUUGAGGGUUAAGGAAGUCAGAGGACCACUGCCAUGUAGAAGAACCCUGCCUAACUGACAUCCAGAACUCGGAGCGGCUCCAGCAGAAGAUGUGAUAGCCUUGACCUGCUUCUACCAGGCCUUGCCUUGUGUCCUGGCUUUAAGAGGUUGUGCACAACUGACACUGUCCACAGCAGAGUGAAGCUUUCUUUAAAUGUCUCCAAGUUUUGGAAAACCAAGAGUGCCUUAAGAACUCUUCCUUGUUCCUUCGUUUGGCUCUUGAUGAGGUGAGAGCUGCAGCGGGGCAUGUAGAGACUCUUGUUUGCAAUAACAUCACUCUGCAGCGCAGUCUGGUGAGGAGGACCAUAAGGCUCUACGUGGCCGUAUGCACUGACACACCAACACCACGAUGUCGAAAUACGGACGGGAAAGACUUCACAUCUGCCUGUUUCUCCCGAGUGAAGGACCUACCAGAAGCCUCUCUUGGAAAAGUUAAAGAGACGCUAAUUAAAAGAAUACAGUAUGUCCCUGAUGAGGGACUGUUGACAAAGACCUGACUCCACGAGUCAUUGGAGCAGCUCCUUACCAAGAUGCAAGAUGUAACAGAUCUGAUCUGGAAAUCACCUUAAUUGCUGAAAGACCACCACUUCCCUCCAAGAGACACAACAAUGCUACUUUUUUUCUGGAUGAGGAGGUGAGCUCCAGCCUCUCCCUGGAAGAGAGGGCUGGCAGCAGCGCUGAGCUGAGAUGUGGGGUCUGCACAGGGGCCCAUUGGCUGAAGAUCCUGGAUUGUGGAGGACUAAUGCUUCCAGGCAAGCAAAGCCUGCAGCAUCCUUUUGUUCCUGGUGCAUUCAAUGGGCAGUGCAUUGACUCAGCCUUUUACUCAAAGGACACGAGGAUGCUGUAGAUUUCUCCAUUUGACCAGCUGGAUUUGCACCUGAGUUUUGAUCCCAUGGCUCCAGCUGAAGCUCUCCUUACUUCUGCAGAGAUUGUCCCCUAUGCCAGCAGGACCACCUGAGCCAUUGGCCAUCACCCAGCAGGGAAAGGAUCCCGGGCAGCUUGUCAGGCAUGUUAUGGUGGUCACGUGUGUGAUCUGCCUCCCAAGAGGAAGACAUUUGGGUUGCUGUACCAGAGCCAUGGGACGAGCUUUGCUCACGCCAGCAAGCAGCGUGCCCACCUAGUCCCUGGAGAUCUGGCUGGACUUGGAGUUUUGCUGUUCGAGGAGAAAGGAGUUGAUGCCCAGCAGGGCAGACUGAUCCUGUGCAGAUGCUGCUCAGUGAGAUGAAUUCUCUGCAUCCCGAAGAAUGUUGAGUGGAUUGGGAGCUCCCUCUGAUUGAGUAGAGCUGUGCUCCUGCAAGCGUAGACCAGUUUGGUCUCCAGUUUUCUGGCGACUGUUCUGUUGCCUGCAGGCUGCAGCCAUUCUCAGCGCUGUAAAUACCUUCAGACAUCUGCUCCAAGCAUACCUCCCUGCCAGAAGCUGCGAUGAAGGUGAUCCAGUCAUGCCUUCUGUUUCAUGGUUCCCCCUCUGUGGUUGUCUCAUUUUGGGCUCUCGGUGGCUUACCAACAGGGGAACCUCUGAAAAAAGGAGUCAUUGCUGUUUUGUGCUUUGGAUCAGUAUCUGGAUCCACUGUCCCUGACUCGAGUCAACACUCAGUGUCUCUAAACUCUCUUUGCUUCCUCAUUUUAUCGUCCACUCUCCAACCACGUGUCUUAAUCCACUUAAUUUCCUCCUUGGAGUCCCUCAAGUCCCAAACCUUGCCAUGCUCAGCCUGGUCCAAAGCGGAAGCAGCAGAACCCCCUGCCCCGCUUUGCCUCUGUGCCUUCUCAGGGCCGUGCACAGAGGGUGGGAAGAGGCAGCAGUCAGCAGAGCAGAGGUGGGGCGAGCAGGAAUGCGGGGUGAGACCGAAGAGAUCCUCAGGGAAAUUGCUGCAGCUGCAUUGUUCUGCUUCCUGUGACUCAAAGUGCAACGCCAGUGUGCCCAGGGGGCCGGUGCUGUGAGGUACGAGUGUCACACCGAGUGUGGGCACAACACUAAUGGAAAAUGCUGCUUUAAACUCUUAUCUUAAGCCUUCUGUUCAGCACCCGAGCUCAAAGCCUGCAUCCUUCCAGGUCUGUGAUGCUGUGCACCUGCCAGCUGCAGCGCUCCGAGUUGUCUUUGCAGAGCAGCACAAGCCUGUUGUGACACCUUGGUGCCUUUGGCUCCGCUCCCAUUCUCUAGAAUUGCACUUGGCCUUGCUUUGGCCCUCUGCCCAGCCUGAAUUCGCCUUCUUGGUUUUCACUUAUUUCCCAUAUCACUUUUCUCUCCUGCUUCUCUUCAGGGAUCUGGCUGCAAACCUUCGUGCCCAGGUGGGUGAGCAGCCGCUCCCUCCCAGGGUCCCUUCAAUUGUGAGAGAGAGACGUGGGACGUUUGCAGUUUUUCUUCCUCCUUCCAGCUGAAUGUUAGACAGUUCUUCUCCUGAAUGUCUCUCUUCUCCCUUUUCCUGAAUCGGCCCCUCAGUUUUAUUUCUCUG
ensembl:lncRNA